CCUACGGGGGGCAGCAGUGAGGAAUAUUGGUCAAUGGGCGCGAGCCUGAACCAGCCAAGUCGCGUGAGGGAAGACGGCCCUACGGGUUGUAAACCUCUUUUGCCGGGGAACAACGGGCGCCACGUGAGGCGCCACUGGGAGUACCCGGCGAAAAAGCAUCGGCAAACUCCGUGCCAGCAGCCGCGGUAAUAAGAAGGAUGCGAGCGUUAUCCGGAUUUAGUGGGUUUAAGGGGUGGGUAGGCGGAGCGUUAAGCAAGUGGGAAAAUUUGGGGGUACAACCCGUUCUCGCCAUUGAAACUGGCGCUCUUGAGUGGACGAGAAGAAGGCGGAAUGCGUGGUGUAGCGGUGAAAUGCAUAGAUAUCACGCAGAACCCCGAUUGCGAAGGCAGCAGGCCGGCGUGCGACUGACGCUGAGGCACGAAAGCGCGGGUAUCGAACAGGAUUAGAUACCCGAGUAGUC
rnacentral:rRNA from 1 species